CAGUAGCCGCGGGAAUACGUAGGUGGCAAGCGUUGUCCGGAAUUAUUGGGCGUAAAGGGCUCGCAGGCGGUUUCUUAAGUCUGAUGUGAAAGCCCCCGGCUCAACCGGGGAGGGUCAUUGGAAGCUGGGAAACUUGAGUGCAGAAGAGGAGAGUGGAAUUCCACGUGUAGCGGUGAAGUGCGUAGAGAUGUGGAGGAACACCAGUGGCGAAGGCGACUCUCUGGUCUGUAACUGACGCUGAGGAGCGAAAGCGUGGGGAGCGAACAGGAUUAGAUACCCCCGUAGUCCCUGUCUCUUAUAC
rnacentral:rRNA from 1 species